rnacentral:rRNA from 1 species
GACGAACCGUGCGAACGUUAUUCGGAAUCACUGGGCUUAAAGCGCGUGUAGGCGGGCGGGUACGUCGGCCACUGAAAGCCCCCGGCUCAACCGGGGAAGGGGUGCCGAAACGGCCGGCCUGGAGGGGCGUAGGGGGACCUGGAACUUCCGGUGGAGCGGUGAAAUGCGUUGAGAUCGGAAGGAACGCCCGUGGCGAAAGCGGCGCACUGGAUCUCUUCUGACGCUGAGGCGCGAAAGCUAGGGGAGCAAACGGG